UAUCUUCUUCUUACAUUCUAUUUAUAGGUUUUAUCGUGUUGUUACAUGGUUUAGGUUAUAUCAGUAAUGUUUAAAACAUAAUUUUUCUCUGACGUGUGGAUUUGUUUGGUGAUCUAAAUUUUGAAUAUCCAGUAAUGUUCGUAGAAAUCUUAUUUGUGUCAGUCAGUUUUGUUUCUCCUUAUAACAUGUUUGCCGAAGUGUUUUUUGAUAAUGCCAUUUUGUUUUGCGUUUGGUCACUGAUGUGACAACUUUUCUUUUUCUCAGCUGUUGCCAUAGAAUGGAAUUUAUCUAGAUCUAGCCCUAGGACGUAGAACAUAGGACAUGUCAGCACAAUUGAACUAACAGAAAUGAGACAGAUUUAUUGCAAAGCCAGCCAUGUCCAAAGGAAAUGGUCGUUCAGGUCGCCAAGCACUGUUCCAUCCUUUGACAUGGCCUGUUUUGGGGUCCAACACAGGCAUCUCAACCAUGAGACCACCUGCAAGCCCUACUGGCCAUACACUCACCACCUGUGUGUCUCGCAUCUGGAAGAAGAGGAGAGGUUUCAGUCCUCAGUUAUAAAGUAACAGUAAAAGAUACCAUAAUGGAAUGCAGAUAUAUAUACCUCAUCAAAUACCUCUAAGCUGUAUGAGUUAUCAUCAUCUGCAAAAUAGAUGACUCCUUGAUCAUCAGCUUUCAGAUUGUUUCUGAUCCACUGUAAUGCAGUGUUACGCUGUUGAACUCCACGUGGCUUUUUCCAGUUGGACUCCUGUCAGAUAUAAGCAACGUUUCAGAGACUUGUAGUUCUGUUCAGUGUCAUACUAAGACUUAUGCACACAGUUAAUAAUGUGAGCACAUAAAAGUCCAGUAUUUUGGUAAGUGAUUUUGAUUAUUUCUAAAGUAUGAUUGCCCCAAGUCAGUGUAUUUGUCUACAACACCUUUGUAUAAGAAUAUGAAAGCAAGUUAUUAGGUUGACAAUGAGACAAGAAAAAGCAUUAAUAAUGAUUUAAUUUUGGUCAUAACACACUGACAAAACAACAGUGCUCCUCUCAUUCUCUACUGUGAUUAAAGGAAGAAAGAAAAUGAACCAGUUUGGAUAAUAACUGAAAUUUAUUUCUGUAUCAACAAUGUACAUAAAUGCAUUUUUCUUAUAUUUUGCUUGGGCGUUCUUUUUUGUUAUUUAAAUAUUUGGAAAUGAAGAAUUCUAAAAUCCACUGCAUCUUCAGGUAAGAGAGAACUGACUCUGUGGGGCUCAUCAGAUGAAGUUAAUUUUGAUCAAUGGGCACUGAUGAAGAUAGAUGAGCCCAUAGAAGUACCUUCUUACAUGACAAAAAGACUGACGUAGAGCAAGUUUCUGACAUUUGGUGGAUUUUAGAAUGUUUAAAUUUUUAAAUAACAGAUAAUGGAUAAUGUCCAAGCAAAUUAUCAUAAUAAUAUAAUUAGAACAGCAUUUAAGUAAAUGUUUAGUUACUCUUUGGC